GAUGAAGAACGCAGCGAAAUGCGAUAAGUAAUGUGAAUUGCAGAAUUCAGUGAAUCAUCGAAUCUUUGAACGCAUCUUGCGCUCCUUGGUAUUCUGAGGAGCAUGCCUGUUUGAGUGUCAUUAAAUUCUCAACUACACUGACUUUGAAUUGGUGUGGCUUGGAUUUGGGGGGAAAAUUGUUGUGGGCUUUUUGUAUAGUCUGCUCCCCUGAAAUUGAUUAGCGGUACCUUUGUGGAACUGUCUACAGGUGUGAUAAUUAUCUACAUCUUAGACAUCUGCUGGAAUGCUGCUCUCUAAACCUUACUUGUAUUGACAAUCUUGACCUCAAAUCAGGUAGGACUACCCGCUGAACUUAAGCAUAUCAAAAGCGGAGGA
rnacentral:misc_RNA from 1 species